rnacentral:misc_RNA from 1 species
AAGUCGUAACAAGGUCUCCGUUGGUGAACCAGCGGAGGGAUCAUUACAAGAAGCCGAAAGGCUGCUUAAAACCAUCGCGAACCUAUCCAUCAGCGUUGCUUCGGCGGGAGGAGGCCGAGGGGCCGGGGACCCGCACCCUCUCGGGGGUGCGGGGCCCGCCCGCCGGAGGUAUGAAACUCUUCUGCAUCUACAGUGGAAUAUCUGAGUAAUCAAGCAAAUAAGUCAAAACUUUCAACAACGGAUCUCUUGGUUCUG